CUCCCUCUCUCCCUCCCUUCCUACUAAAAACCAAUAAGGCUAGGGAGCCUAUCUGCAUAGUUCUGUGAAUGUCUCGGAACAAAGCAAUACACAGAAGCUAAUGCUCUCAUCCUGUGUAAGAUACAAAUCUUGUCACAUCAUGGACCAUCGUGGAGCAUGAAGCUAUUUCUAAUGUGAUGGGGGAAAUGUUUCUAGCAGAAGAGCAAGACAUGGUCCUGGUGCAUGAAAGGAGCCUAAGAAAGAAGAGUGAAAGCUGCACGUGUGAAGGAAAUGAAUUUUCCUCAUUGUACACAUUCCGAGAAAAAUGAGGCUAAGACUAUUUCAAAGGAUGUUCUACCUAAUUCGAAUGGGCUUUAAGUGCCAUCUUCACAAUAGCGCCAGAGUCUGGUGUCAGCAAACUGAACAAAUAGAGCUACAGGGAGCGAAUGGGGCUGGGUGCCUCUCCAAAACAUAUGCAGAUGAACUUGAGAUUUCAGAGGACGGUUAAUCCUACACAGCAGUCAAGUGCCUUCCCAGGGGUAUGUCUCAGAUCUCAGGGCUCCCUUCCAAACACUGGCUGCCACGUCAAACCAAAGGGGACGAGCAAUCAGACUCACCUCAAACGCCAGUUAAGAAAGCCGGCCUUACUUAAGCAAUCAAGGGCAAGUGAUCAGCCAACUCUGCUUUCUUUCCUUUCUCUUGGAUCAUUUAUAGACCUUGUGGCCGUGGCCACCACAUUGAGAAGCCCUUGGUCUCUACUUGGACUCACUAUAGCAGGU
rnacentral:lncRNA from 1 species